rnacentral:rRNA from 1 species
ACGAACGCUGGCGGCGUGCUUAACACAUGCAAGUCGAACGGAAAGGCCCUGCUUUUGUGGGGUGCUCGAGUGGCGAACGGGUGAGUAACACGUGAGUAACCUGCCCUUGACUUUGGGAUAACUUCAGGAAACUGGGGCUAAUACCGGAUAGGAGCUCCUGCUGCAUGGUGGGGGUUGGAAAGUUUCGGCGGUUGGGGAUGGACUCGCGGCUUAUCAGCUUGUUGGGGGGGUAGUGGCUUACCAAGGCUUUGACGGGUAGCCGGCCUGAGAGGGUGACCGGCCACAUGGGGACUGAGAUACGGCCCAGACUCCUACGGGAGGCAGCAGGGGGGAAUAUUGCACAAUGGGCGGAAGCCUGAUGCAGCAACGCCGCGUGCGGGAUGACGGCCUUCGGGUUGUAAACCGCUUUCGCCUGUGACGAAGCGUGAGUGACGGUAAUGGGGAAAGAAGCACCGGCGAACUACGU